UACGAAGGGGGCUAGCGUUGCUCGGAAUCACUGGGCGUAAAGCGCACGUAGGCGGCUUGUUAAGUCAGGGGUGAAAUCCUGGAGCUCAACUCCAGAACUGCCUUUGAUACUGGCGAGCUUGAGUCCGGGAGAGGUGAGUGGAACUGCGAGUGUAGAGGUGAAAUUCGUAGAUAUUCGCAAGAACACCAGUGGCGAAGGCGGCUCACUGGCCCGGUACUGACGCUGAGGCACGAAAGCGUGGGGAGCAAACAGG
rnacentral:rRNA from 1 species